AACGGCGAGUGAAGCGGCAACAGCUCAAAUUUGAAAUCUGGCUCUUUUAGAGUCCGAGUUGUAAUUUGCAGAGGGCGCUUUGGCUUUGGCAGCGGUCCAAGUUCCUUGGAACAGGACGUCACAGAGGGUGAGAAUCCCGUACGUGGUCGCUGGCUAUUGCCGUGUAAAGCCCCUUCGACGAGUCGAGUUGUUUGGGAAUGCAGCUCUAAAUGGGAGGUACAUUUCUUCUAAAGCUAAAUAUUGGCCAGAGACCGAUAGCGCACAAGUAGAGUGAUCGAAAGAUGAAAAGCACUUUGGAAAGAGAGUCAAACAGCACGUGAAAUUGUUGAAAGGGAAGCGCUUGCAGCCAGACUUGCUUACAGUUGCUCAUCCGGGUUUCUACCCGGUGCACUCUUCUGUAGGCAGGCCAGCAUCAGUUUGGGCGGUAGGAUAAAGGUCUCUGUCACGUACCUCCUUUCGGGGAGGCCUUAUAGGGGAGACGACAUACUACCAGCCUGGACUGAGGUCCGCGCAUCUGCUAGGAUGCUGGCGUAAUGGCUGUAAGCGGCCCGUCUUGAAACACGGACCAAGGAGUCUAACAUCUAUGCGA
rnacentral:rRNA from 1 species